rnacentral:lncRNA from 1 species
UACAGAAUCAUUCUAUUGGCUAAAUAGACAAUCAAAGAAGUUCUUGUUCUUGCAAUGUUCUAUCCUAUCUCUGCAGUGUCGCUGUAUCGCUGUAAAAUAGAAUCAUGCUCGGCUAUAACUUGUAGAAAUGAGUGCUGAAGUGAAAAGGAGUCAUGCCAAACUAAAAUGUCCAGGGAUGAGGCGCAUGAAUAAACCAUCUGAUUAUGUUCAGUGAUAAUUUUCCACAUUUCCUCAUAUACUAAGAUAGGAUAAAUAGCAUAUGUAGAAACAAUGGUGUC